ACGCUCGACACCUACGGGAGCAGCAGUGGGAAUAUUGCACAAUGGGGAAACCCUGAUGCAGCGACGCCGCGUGGAGGAAGAAGGUCUUCGGAUUGUAAACUCCUGUUGUUGGGGAAAAAGAGGAUGGUACCCAACAAGGAAGUGACGGCUAACUACGUGCCUGCAGCCGCGGUAAUCUGAGCGGGCUGGCAAGGC
rnacentral:rRNA from 1 species